rnacentral:rRNA from 1 species
GCGAGGCAGAGCAAAUCUCAAAAAGCCGUCCCAGUUCGGAUUGCAGGCUGCAACCCGCCUGCAUGAAGUUGGAAUCGCUAGUAAUCGCGGAUCAGCAUGCCGCGGUGAAUACGUUCCCGGGCCUUGUACACACCGCCCGUCACACCAUGAGAGUCGGGAACACCCGAAGUCCGUAGCCUAACCGCAAGGGGGGCGCGGCCGAAGGUGGGUUCGAUAAUUGGGGUGAAGUCGUAACAAGGUAUC